GAGGGGAGGGAGUGGUGGGAAGGUGGUGAUGAUGAGAAACAGAGAAGUAACCUAGAAUUAACUCGGUGUUUGUGUAUGUCUGGGCGGGGGGUGGGGGUGCUGGAGAUUUGUAAUGUUCAGGGGCUGCCCAGCACCCGCAUCUCCCUGCUCCACGUGGGAAUUUCCCGUGUGGGCAUCUUGGUGGGAAGCAGAGCUUCUUCCCAUUAUGGAAGCCAAGCCAGGGGUUGCUUUCCCAGCAGCCUUUGCAGUGAAGGCACACCUGGGUUUGGCCAGCCAGGGACACUGCCUGGGCCUGGAACCCGAGGAAGCAGAAAGGCUGGCAGUGGGGAUAGCAACAUUGGUCUCCAAGGGCUGCGGUGGCAGUGAUGCCAAAGAGGGCACCUGCGGCCCAGGGCCAGCAUCAUCGCAAGCAACAGCGUCCCCGUCCACACUGGCUGGGUUUCUCUGUGUGAUCUGGACCGAUUCCAGCUGCCAACCCUUUCUUUGUUCUUCUUGUUUUCCAAGCCUGCUUCCCCAGGCGGCCGAACAUUUCUGUGACGAAUUAAUAUCCUUUCGAAAAAUUCCAUUCUGCUAAAAUCGGCCGGGCCAUUUCUGUUGUCGGCAGUUAAAAUGCUUCUCUAGUACAACAGGUUUACAAGCUUUCUGGACGCCUUUCUGAAAAGAUUGAUUUGGGGACAGAGGAACCACUGAGGACACAUAAAUAAAGCAGCCCAAGAUCCGGCGUGAUUUAUUGGAAAGGGAAGCGGAGUGGGGGUCGGGGGGACGUGGAUUGAAGUUCUGAUUCUGGCCUUUGGAACUGUGUGACCCAAGCCAUUUGAUGUUGAGGGAGCUCAGUUCCCUUAUCAUAAAAUCGGAAGAAUAACGGCUUCUUCAAAAGGCUGCCUUGAGGAUGAAAUGACAACAGGUACUGUCCCGACACAUGAAAAGUGCUCAUGAAUGUCUGCUGAAUUCAAUAACACAUCCAGAUAAAAACAGCUCAUGUCAGCUCUGAGAGAGACAAAAAUUCAAAAGAGAUCAGGGGCAGGGAGGUAAGUGCAUCGCAGCAAGGGGUGGGCGUGGUGGUGUGUGGUUCUGGCAGUGGUCAAGGUACCAAGACUUGAAAUCGAAAUGGGUUCUAAGUCUGGCUUUGCCACUGAUGCGAUGUGCAAAAGCCAUCUGUGAAAUGGGGCUGAUACCUGGCCCCGCCAGCUUGACGGGACUGCUGAGAAUACGAAAUGAAUAGUUUUGAGGAACGUCUGCCGGAAGGAAUAAGCCUAUUGCAAGAAUGAAGUUACUGCUGAGAUGCAGUAGCAAAAAAGUCCCCCGAAAGAACAAAUCUGCUGCAGCGUGCUCUGCCUGGAAUCCCCGGGCUGGAUGCUAGAUGCACCGGCCGGGGUGCUGAGUCACUUGACACGGGGCACACCCCGGCAGGGACUUCCGUUGGCAUCGCUGGCUAUGUGGGGUGGCCUGGGAGGCGAGGCCGGGCAGGCGGAAGGGCAAAGGCAGCAUGAGACAUUUGGCCGAGCACCUUAUCAGCUGUUCCUGUAAAUAACUGAAGCUCAGCUAGUGCCCGAGGCUGCAGACUGGAAUCCCUUUUCUGAGAACCACCCCUCACCCUUGCUGCAGCCGACAUCUGCACGGAUCUGUGCUACCGUCAUCACCAGGACGAGGGCCCUGUCCACAGAACUCAGAACCUCAGAAAUGGGCAAGACUCGGGGAGGGCGGGGUUGGCAGGGGGACGUUACAAAGCCCCUAACUGAACACAGAGAUCCGUCAUCCUCCCCGAGCAGCAGCGCAGAAGCCAGCUACAUCCUCCCUCCACCAACCUUUUCUCUUAAAGAGACAGUGUUCAGUUUUUCCUCUCUGGACCAGAUGACAAUCCCCUGCACUGAGCAGAUGAAGAUUCAGCAAAUUUAGCCAACCGUGGCUGAAGGGCCCAGGUGCUGGCUAGGUUUCUGUGCUUUAGAACCACAGUUCCCAGCCUGAACGUCUCGGCACCCAAGGCAUCCAGGGACCCCAUACCGAACUCGCAGGGGCACUGCAGUGUAUUUUUCAUUUCUGAGGGAAACAUAGUGGUACUCGACGUCUAUCGGAUGCUGCGGGAGAUACUCGCUCUGAAAAGUUCACAGUUUCAAUACUGAUUUGCACUACACUCCUUUCGAUAACGUGCCCUCUCUGUGAAGCUCGGUUUUCGGCAGUUGCUGUGAUGAAAAGCAAGUAAACUAAUCGAGGCAGGACGGGAAAUGAGGGCGGUGUGUCCUCUCUGAUUCUGUGGUUUGAGAAGUUGUGCGGUGCCCAAUGGGCACACAUAUCCCAGUGUAUCUCAUUCUGAUCAUUUAAGAAUGCAAUACAAAUAUUUUUAUUCCUUC